CUUGUUUUCAGGCUCCAUUCACAUGGUAUAUCAAUUUCAAUCCUUUUAUUUUCAAUCUGUGGCUAUCUGUUCCUGUAAGGUGAGUCUCUUGCAUACAAUAUAUAGCUGGGUCUCCUUUUUAAUCCAUUCUAUUACCAUAUGUCUUUUAAUUGGAGAGUUGAAGUCAUUUAUAUUUAAUAUUAUUAUGAAGAGAUGUUUAUUAAUUUCUGCCAUUUUGGUUAAUUGAUAAUGUUUUCUUUGGUCCUGUUUAUCAUUCACUUAGCUAAUUCUCAAAGGAGAUUGGGUUUUUGUGAGCUCUGGUGUUUGUUUUUAUUUCUUCUGCAGUAAGUAUUUCUGUAAGGUUUCUCUGAAGUGCUGGCUUAGCAGUCAUGAAUUCUUUUAGUUUCUUGUUAUCUUGGAUGGUUUUCAUUUCUUCUAUAAUUCUGAAGCAUAGCUUUGCAGAUAUAGCAAUCUUGGUUGAAAGUUUUUUCUUUCAGGACUUGGAACAUCAUUCCAUGACCUCCUGGAUUUUAAAGUUUGUGUUGAGAAAUCAGAAAUAAUCAUGAUUGGCCUCUCUCUAAAUGUUACCUGAUAUUUUUUCUUGAGGCUUUUAAAAUUCUAUCCUUGCUUCUAUACUAGGAAUUUUUAUUGUUUCUUUUUAAUCUUAUCUAUUAGGAGUUCUUAAUGAUUCCUAUAUCUGAAUGUUCAUCUCAUUCUCAAAGUCUGGAAAUUUUUCUA
rnacentral:lncRNA from 1 species